GUGAACCAGUACCGUGAGGGAAAGGCGAAAAGAACCCCGGCGAGGGGAGUGAAAAGAACCUGAAACCGUGUACGUACAAGCAGUGGGAGCCCCACCACUAAGCCAGUGGUGAACUCCACAUACGCAUCCUUUGCUGAGGAUAAGGUUAACGGAGCGAAAGCGACGUUCAACCUCAAAAGAAGCAGAGGGGGCUUAGUGGUGGGGUGACUGCGUACCUUUUGUAUAAUGGGUCAGCGACUUAUAUUCUGUAGCAAGGUU
rnacentral:rRNA from 1 species